UUUUUUUUUUUUUUUUAAUUAUAAGUGUAGGAUCAGCAGCAAGCUAGGUAAUAAAAGAAGAUUUUGAUAAAAGACAGCUGAGAAUUAACAAGUUGCCACUUUAGUUUGACUUGUUUUGCAAACAAAACAAGCAGUCCCAGCCCACCAUGCCCCAUUUACACUUUGGAGCAAACACAGAAUAAACGAACUGGAUUCCUGUUGAGUGACUUCAAAGCAGCAAAAGUGGUCCCUGCCCACACUUGGUGUCCUCCAGCUCUUUGCUGUGGCUCAGUCCAGAGGACCAGACUCGGGUCAAACUGAAGAUUGGAGUUAAAUUCAUGAAAUGGGGUAGUGUGAAUAAAGGGUUCCCAGCAUCACAGCUGCAGUCAUUCCAUCUCCUCUGGUUGCACAUUAGCAGAGCACACAGAGCUGAAGUGGGAUUUAGUGACGUGGAGUUAAUUUCAAAUAUUUGUCUCCGAAAACAAAUGGCAAUCUGACAAAAAUGUUGUGAUUUUUAUUUUGCAAUCAAACAUUUCAAAACACUGGAAAUGGACAAAUGGACAGAGGAUAUCUAGGAGUCUUCACUAUUCUAUAAUAAUUCAUGUUACAGCCUACAGUCCCUUCUCCCCCAUUUUCCUUAUCUGAUAAGUUCUUUCUAGAAGUAAUGUACAGAAGGACCUCCUUUGUAGAGUUUGCACUUAUAUUUCUCUCCUUACAUUAAGGAACACUUGUUCAUGUUCACAGAAUCCCAUGAUGGUUUGGGUUGGAAGGGGCCUUGAAGCCCACCCAGUGCCCCCCCUGCCAUGGCAGGGACACCUCCCACUGUCCCAGGCUGCUCCAAGCUCCAAUGUCCAACCUUGGGCACUGCCAGGGAUCCAGGGGCAGCCCCAGCUGCUCUGGGCACCCUGUACCAGGGCCUCCUCACCUCCCAGGGGAGGAUUUUUUCCUCAUAUUUCAUCUGAACCCACCCUGUUUCAGUCUGAAGCCAUUACCCUUUGUCCUGUAAUCUCUCAAGAUGUACAAGGUGCUGUCGGGUAUUGAUCUGAUCCAUUUAAUUGGCCUUGUAUCUUUGCUCUGGCAUAGCAAUAUACUAAUCCCAUUCUGACAAGUAUUUCUGGAUUCUAUAUAGCUUGAAUAUCAUCCAAGCACCUGGACAUUCUAAAUGUGAAUAUUUGAAGUUCAGAUUCUGCGAACCUUAAAGUGAUAAAAAUGUAAUUUCCAAAUGUCUGUAGGAGUUAAACAAAGCCAACUUGAACUACAUAUUCUAUCCUGAAGAACAAUGGUAGAAGUACUUUUAUAGUGGUAGUUCACCUUUACCCAUUUUGCCUCAGUGAACAACAGUACAGCACAUAGGCAACAAGUCUGCUACCAAUUUACUGUAUAUAUUUUCAUGUCCUAAAUAAAUGUAAAAGGAUUUGCAUGGUUUUCAGUGCAUUUUCAGAAAAUUAAUCUCUUGAGAAAAAAAAAAAAAUGCCAUAAAAGUCCCAGACUGAAUUCAUUAUGAACAAAAGAUAGCCAUGGUAAAUGCAACACAGGCUGCAGUGAGUAGAGCAGUACUAUGGUCUUUGUUUGGGAAAAUGUAUUCAAAAGUCACUGUCUUGUUUCUACCUAGUCAUACAAAUGGCUCUUUGACAGAGAGCUGAUAUCUCAUCAAAAACUAUUAUAGAACCAUAAUUACUACUUCUGGAUCAUUAAUCUGAACUACCAAUAUGCUUGUGCAUAAAUGGAAGUGCGUCAGGAAAUUCUGCCAGCCUGUGGUCCCUCAGAUGUGUUAUAAAACUGUUAAUUAUCAGAAAUGAGACCUACGUAAGGUCUAUUGAGUUCUGUAAUCUCCAUGAAAAAAGCAAGACUUGGGGCCAGAUUGUAAUUCUGGCCAUGUCAGCACUUCCCUGGAAAUUUCAGAUAUCCAUUCCCUGCUCAGCUGUCCUUUCCCUCUCACUCAGCCCGCUGAGAUGGGAACCUGGGCAGGACCUUCCGUGCUCAUGGCACGCUCUUCUUCUCACUGGGAUGCUCAAUUUCCCAGGAAUGUGUUUGUGCCUAAUGCAUUCCAAGGAAAACAAAACACAACUUUCUCUGUCACUCUUCAGUGUGGGUUUUUUUGGGUUUUUUUUAUAUUCAUAAUGUUGUCCUCCAGUGCCAUACUGUGCCAUGGAAAAAAGUUCCAUACUGGUUGUGCUUAGUCUUGAACAUGAGUUAAUUACUGGCUGGUAAACGCAGCAUCCUGCCAUAACAUUUUACAGUUGUGCUUUUGUUGAUUAGCAUACAUAAAAAGGCAUCUGAUGAAGUAGCACAUUAUGAGAUAACUCUUGGGAAUGACAAGGUAGAAAGGACUGAGGGAAAAAUUAGGAAAACUGAAGCCAAGGAAAUCAGAGUGAAGAUAUAUUGCAACUGUUAUUCAUCUUUCCAGAUCAGAGACAGUUUCACAAGUGAAAGAACUACAAAAUUUGGCCCUGAAGAUAAUAACAAUACAUUAGGUUUUGCAAAAAUUGAGCUGAUCUACUGCUGAAUGCUACCAGAGUUGUCAAAUGUGGGUUGCUUUUUCACUGUGUUCUGCUAUCGCUACUGAAUUGUCUACAAACACCUUCCCUGUAAACCUUCUGGUGUGAUAUUUAAGGAAAAGUAGCAGAAGGGGCUCAGGUCCUCCAUCAUUAGCAGAUAUGAGAGCUCUAAAGCUAUGAAAAUGGGGAACUUCUGCAGGAGCUACCAAAUUAAUCUCAGAAUUAUCAGGAGAUACUGUCCAGAAGUGAUGCUGGUUUCACAGAGUCCGUGUUCCAACUACUACUGCAGAAUAGAGGAUAUUUCAACUCAGAUGUGAAGGGGAAGCCUGAUGAACUUGUAGGGCUACCACACAAGAAUCAAGACAAAACUGGUUAGAUUACACAAAUAGUUACAGCUUUCAAAUUAUAAAUCAUAUUCCAUAUAAUCAAGUAUUGAUUACUUAAGACUUCUGAGAAAAAAGGCUGUUAAAUUUUUUCUCAUAUGAGAAAAUAUAACUCUGGUUUAGUCUUUAAUUCCCAUAGAACCCUAUACCAACAGGAAGAGCAAGACAGAAAAAUGAAUGGUGUAAUCCUACCCUCCCACGAGUUAAAAUCCUGAUUUUUCUCUCCAAUAUAAUAUUUCAUCCAUGAUUGUUCUUCACUGUUUUGAAAAAAAAAAAAAUAUAUAAGAGCUCUAUUGUAACACAAAUAUUGAAACUGUAGAAGUCAUUUAUUACGGCACUAUUGGUAGUUAUAAAAAGCUGGGGGAAAGGAUCAUUUCAGAACCAUAGACUCCAUGGGAACAACCACCACUGAUUCCUCCAUGUUUUACCUUAAAAAAUUGAUAUCCAAAGUCUCCGAGCAAAACUUGUAGUGACUUCAGUGAGGCCAAGAAAUCAUCUCUCUAAUGUCAUCUGAAAUAAAUCACGUGUGAAAUACAGAAGAAUUAAGUCCAAAACUUAUUUUUCAACACCAUCCCCUGUGGUUUUGUUCGACUUUGGUUGUGGGUUUUUUGUUGGUUUUGACUCAUUCUGGAAGUUAAGAGAAUAGCCAGAGUGACAGUGGACUGCAGCAGGGAGCUGGGGUUUGUCCCUGCUCGUGGGUCAGCUCCUUGGGGUGCAAAGCUGAGCAGCUCACCUGCUUGCUUCUCUCUAACAAAAGAUUGCAUUACAAACUGCUCUUUUCUGCUAUAUUCCAUCUUGAAAGGUUUUGGGGUUAUUUUUCUAUAUUUCACCUGAUCUGCUGGUUUCUUUGACUUCAAAGCAAGCUUUAUUAGUUUGAAAUUUUGAAUCUUUUACUGAUUUACUAAGUGUUUGCUAUUCUUACUGCAGCUAUCAAAUAUUUUUCUUGUGUUUUAAUUUUGUCUGCUGCUUGUAAUUUUUUCCUCGCUUGCAUUGUAAAUAGUGUAUUGCCUUAAAACUUCUGCAGUUCCAUGAAUGUAGAUGUUUUACAAAGCUAAUUACUCUGCAUGUAAUAGCUUAAUUAUUUAAAUGUGCAUAAAGCUGAUAACUCACAGAAGAGUAAGAAUUAGGAAAAUAAUAUAUGAAAAUAUAUGUAAAUGCUAUCUCAUUAUGAGAAGCAAAAAUAUGGAUAUGUAUGUCAGCACGUAGACUGCCAAAAGGAGAUUAUGAAAUUGAAAUGCAUUUUUUAAAAUAAAUUAUUUCUUCUCAUCUGACCAAUCUUUACAUCAAGAGCAUUGCCUACAUUUUGAGUCAUGUUUGUCAGAAAGCAAAUGUACGAAAGUCAGAUCAAAACAAGAACAAAAAUGAGCUUGAAGAAGGAAGAAAUGUAAAUUAUCUUAACAGAAAUCCAGCAAAGAAUCAGCAGAGUUGGAAAAAUCAGUGAUCACAAUGCAGCCAAGGCACAAGGCAGACAGACUGGGCCUGCUCAUACACUUUAAUGAGGAACUUGGUUCAGUCAGUUGUCUAAAAUAAGCGAUGUAUUAAAAAAUGGAGAAAUUCUAUAAGGAAAUCCUCAUCCAUUUCUUGCCCCUUCCUGUCUUUCCACAGAAUCUCUAAAGAGGCAGGAGAACAGGAACCAUACUGUUUAUUAAUUAUACAAAGGCAGCUCCUUGUGAAGGAUUUCAAAACAUCUUGUCAAACAUUUAAUUACCUCUCACUGUUAGCCUUGCUUCCAAAGGGUGUUAGUCCCUUCUCACAGGAGGUUUUUCAGGAAGGAGAGGUUCCUGCAAGGCAAAGUCAUCAUGGAACUGAGUAACUGUUCUCAGCAGGAAGACAGGCAGAAGCCAUCCCCAAAACACCCUGAGCACUGCAAGGGGACAGACGGAUCCCUCCUGGAACUCAUCCCACUGCCAGCAGUGACCACUCUUGGAUCUUACAGAAAUGCUGUGGACUUGGGCAAAACGAGGAAGAAUUCCCUCUCUGAUGCUCUGGUUGACACAGCUCCCAAGAUCCCUGAGGGAUAAAUGGGUCCUUUCAAGCAAAGGGUGUUAAGGAAGGGCUUCCAGUGAUGCUGCCUUGGCACUCUGCUGUUCCAGUGCUCAUAUCCAUGCCAGGAAAAACCAUGGGAAACCCGCAGCUGUAUGGUGAAACAGCUACAGAGAUGUCCAGAGACCUGAAAAAUAUGCUUUGCACAUAUCAAGCAGGAAAUUCAACCUAUAUAUUUUGCCAUAACAUGUUAAGUAAGUCAGGAACCAGCUAAAGUAAAAUACUUCAGAUAGAUAGUAGAAUUUGAAAAUUAUGGGUCCAUUUAGUUCAGGUGAUAAAAUGACAAAAAAAAAUAAACACACAAAAAGGUGACACUACAAAUUGAAUCUUUUUUCAUAAAUAAUUAAUCACCUAUUAGAAUAGAUUAGCAACAAAACUGAUUAAUAUGCCAACAGCCAACACCUCUAAAGUGAGGCCAGCUGCAUUUCAGAAAAGGGGACAGCUGAUUGGAAGCCGAGAGCAGCAGUUUAGGUGCUCUAUGACUACAAAGGAUUUGGUGUGUCCUUAAAGACAUCAAAUCACUAUGAAGCACAUUAUUUCUGUGCAGAUCCUUCCCAAUCAUUAAAAUGUUAAGGUGAUUUAGUUAUUUGGUCAAGCUUUUCUGCCUUUCCAAAAGCCACAUACCUAAAAAAAAAAAAAAAAAAA
rnacentral:lncRNA from 1 species